UAUAAAACCUAUUGCUUUUGCCUACAACUUUUGCCCCCAGGUACUGUAUUACUGUUCUACUGUUCUCUCAACAGUUGAUCGAUGCCAUCUGCACCGUCCAAUCUAGCGUGUGUCAAGGAUCCAAAUAUCCAAUAUCUCUUCCGCUUCUACCCUCCCGUGACCGUGAGCAGCUCGAGAUUAGUUUCUUCUCGACCAUCGAACCCUUUCCCGCUGCUUCUGUUCGCCGCCGCCGUGCUCCAGCGCCUAGGGUUUUCUUCGCCGCCGGCGAGUGCUCCAGCUCCUAGGGUUUCUUCACCGCCGGCGAGUGCUCCAGCUCCCAGCCCUGCGCGUCCUCCUCGCCGGACGCUGCCGGUGACGUCUGGGCCAAGCUAGGUCUGUAGUGCCCUCCGAUUCCGUGUUCCCGGAGGUGGAGCUGGCCGAGGACGACGCCGUGGUGUGCUCCCGGGUCACCCCGGAUGGCGGCGGGGAGGUGGUCGCGUGGUGCAAGAUUAGGCGCGGCGGCGACGUGUCGGCGGCGACGAUUUGGAAUCUGAGCUUGGAUGCAAUUAUUGUCGAUGGAAGAGUUAUCCAGCAAGAAGCAGUUGACAUCAAACCGGGGAGUGAAAUUGUUCCAGGGCCCCAGAAAGAUGGGUAUCUGUUGUACACCUUUGAUAUAACUGGCCUGAAUGACUAGGACAAAAAUAAUAUCAAGAUUGUGCUAGGUAUUGAGAAUGCAAAGUGCAGCAUAUGCUUAAAUUUGUGGGAUGAUGUUGUUACUGUUGCUUCAUGCCUCCACAACUUCUGCAAUGGCUGCUUCUUUGAGUGGUUAAGAAGGUCUUCAGCUAAUUCGCGUGAUAAAAGUUAGAGUGCUGCCUGUCCACAAUGUAGGACGACAGUGCAAUUAGUUGGUGGGAAUCACUUCCUACAUAAUAUUGAAGAGGCUAUACUGUAAGUUUUUUCAUCGCUACAGCGGUCUGAUGAGGAGAUUGCAUUGUUGGAGUCAUAUGCCCCGGUCAAGACAAAUAUUCUAAUCAAGGCCAUCUACACCAUCCGAUGUACCACGCGGCAACGAUCCGUCCCCUCUUCUGCUUCUACCCUCCCGUGAGCUCGUGGUUGAAAGUUACAUUUGUCAUGAAUUUGGAUUAUCAUUCUAUUUUGAAGAUAUCCUUGAUUGAUAAAUGCACUGCCAUGUUUCAGAUAACAUUUUAUUCUCUUAUUUCCCCCAAUUUUCCUUCCAUUUGGCAAUUCUCGUGGUGUUGGUUUGUCUGUACUGCACUUUGACACAUUAUAUUUAAUUUACAAGACUUGCCAGGUGCCUAGGAUUGUCUUUAGUAUUCAACUUUUGACAAGAUAAUAGUGGAUGAAAUGAAAAUCUGUUUACAAUUAGUACUGGCCUCUUAAUAAACUAAUUAGUAAAACAAAAUUCCCCAAAUGGUGGGCUCAUUCCGUUAGUCGGGUACUUAUAAUUGUAGAAUUUCCUUUCAGUGCAGGUUGAUCUAGAAUCAUGGUUCUCUCUCUAAGUCCUAUUUUGCUUAUCGAAUACUUGCCUCUUAAUAAACUAAUUAGUAAAAGAAAAUUCCCCAAAUGGUGGGCUGAUUCCGUUAGUCGGGUACUUAUAAUGGCAGAAUUUCCUUUCAGUGCAGUUUGAUCUAGAAUCAUGGUUCUCUCUAUAGGUCCUAUUUUGCUUGUCGAUGAUAUUGUUAAAUGUUGCCAUGGAAUGUUAGCAUCUGAUACAUGGGCUUCUCAUCUAUAGACAUGUUGUGCUUGUCAUUACCUCUAACCAUAUCAUGUUAUUUAAUUUAUAUCACAUGAUUGAAAAUGCAUUUUAGCAUGAAUGACUCAUAACGAUUUAGAAUUUUCUAACUUACAAUUAGCAAACCAUGGCAGCACAAUAUGGUAUUUCAAAUUUUCAUUUAGUUGCACUACUUGAGAAUGAGUUUAGUGGUUUGGUUGGAUUGUCUAAGUGCAAAUGUUGCUGUCAUUUGUGGGAAUCAGGAAAAUAUAAAAUGCCAUAUAUAAUAUCCUCUAUAUUUUAGUUCAUAGAGAGUAUAGUUUCCAUUCACUCCCAAAGAAAAUAUGGGUAUAAUCCGGAGCAAAUAAUCUGGAAGCAGAUAUGAAUAUGGAUAUUUUUUGCUGGAUAUGAAUACAAAUACUAUGACGUUGGCGAAAGGGCUUGUAGCCUAGUGGUUACAAGAGCAUCAGUAGCAUCUGAGGUCCUGGGUUCGACUCCCCAUGGGAGCGAAUUUUCCAGAAUUUAACGGCGUUGUGCUUUCAGUAGUAGGCGACGUACCCGUCGACAGCGAGGCUCCUGUGUAGUCUUCGAAGAUGCUCACAGGGGUAGGGUUUGCGUGCGUGUGUUUAUAGGGGUAAUUCUAAAAAAAAAAGAAAAGAAAAUACUAUGACGUUGUUUCCAGUGGAUGGGGAUACAAAUAAAGAUGCAUGCUUAUUGUUUUUCAACCACAUUUGCUUAAGCAAUGAUUGGUCUAUUCCAGUAUUACUAUUGUUGGCCCCUUUGGAACAUAUAAUUGAUAUGCCUUUUGCAUGACUCUUCUCAACUAAAAUGCAUUAGAUUGCAUCAUGUCUGUGGUUCACAAUAUGUUACAUAUGUUAUCUGGAAAGAAUAUAAUUAAAUUUGCUACAGUUCUGUGCUAUUGUUAUGUUAUUUUUGCAUUGUUGCAUGUGGUGUUUGGGAUCCAACUAAAACUAAGUUGGUUAUUUUAUUAUGUAAUCUCAACCGAUAUACGGAAUUUAUAUGUUGUGUAUAUUCAUGGUUGUUAAAUUGCUACAUUAUGUUCAGUAUAUAUACAGUUUUUUUUGGCUUCAAUUUUAUGCCGUCCUUUCCAGCUUUCCCGCCGCACCGCGCGGGGCACCCUCUAGUUAUAUUUGUUCUCUGCACUUCUGCUAGGCUGCUUAGCUACCACUAGCCUUUUACUACCCAGCUGCAGAUAAACUAAAACAUGUAUAUAUGAACAUGAAUUCCCUAACCAUAUAAACUAAAACGCCUCCGAUGAUCGAACCAUAUCUUGGUCCAUCGAUUUAAGUGGAAACCAAUGAUCAGUUGUUUUAUUUUAUUUAUUAUAUUUAUAGAACAAUUACUCCCUCGGUUCUAUAAUAUAAUGUACAACCACUUUCUUUAUAUGUUCCAUAAUAUAAGGCAUGCAUUCAAUUAAUUAUGACAUCUUCUUCAUUAAAUUAUUAAUUUUUUAAACAAUUCACUCUCACAUUCUCUAAUUCUAUUGGAUGCAUGCAUUAUAUUUAUUAGGAUGAUCCAAACUACAAGAUGAUAAUAACUAUUUCUUUAUCUUUGGGUUAAUGUUGGUUGUGCCUUAUAUUUUGGAACGGAGGGAGUAAUUUAUUAGAGUCACGUGACAACUUAGGUGUAUUUUGUCGGAACACUACUACUAAUAGUCUCAGUUUACUUGUAGUCAACUACUGUUGGUUGUAGCUUGGUGGCAUACUCUACCUACCUAUCAGUUGUUGAUGUUACUCGCGGAGUAUCGUUCUUUAUCUUUGGUGCUAGAUGACAUGCAUGCAUGCUCAUUGGAUAUCAGCUGAUUCUUAUAUUAGGUACAUUGUGCAUGAAAUGUCUUGUAAGCAAUAUGACUUAUUAGCGAUCGGUGGAUAGUGGUUUGUAUGUAGAACUCGUAUACGUGGGGAUUAGUGAGGACAUACGAUUCCACAUGUGGAGGGGAGUAUCGUGGUGGGUAUACCUGAUUUUUUUUCUUUGAGAUGGAGAUCUAAUGGGUAAAAUUAGUAGGUCCACCGAUUUUUUUUUCCUAAUUUAUUAGAACACCAUGUGGCGGUUUACGAGCGUUUGUAGGAGACCACAUGGCGGCUUGGGAGUUUUUGUAGGAAGUUAAUUUAAUGAACUUUUAGUAUAUGAUAGAUAGAUAUAGAUGUACGUUUACACCAGGUCACAUUUUCUCUGCUGUUUCCUAAUUGGUUUUACUUUCAUGCCUAGUUAAUUAAUUAUAUUAGCUAUAGGGUUAAACCAAUCUGCAUGAGCACACAGACAGUAAAGUGGAGGAGGGGAUUAGCUAACAGUUGCUUGCACAAGCAGGUGGACAGAAAGACAUGCAUUCGCUUUAAUCACACUGCUCUGAAUGUGACAUUUCUGUCAUGCCGCUCAUGCAUGAUUAGUGGCCGGAGUAGGAGUACACGUUACUAGUGGAAGGAGAAAAUCUUGUUGUCGGAGGCUGCCGCGAACGGGUCAUGUGCACACUUAAUUACCGUGUAGUCACGUCCAAAUUCCAAAAACAUAGUAAGACGUUGAAGAGGAUAUUGAGCAAAAUUCGCAUACAUUAUAUUAAUUAUUAUACUCACGUCACAUGGGCUGGAGCCUAUUUAUACGGAGGAGGAGCAAAGGAUCGGAUGAAAUCGACCAAGAUGACGAAGAUAGCAGGUGUUCUUAUUUUAGUUCUUGUUAUCUGUCCAACUAUUACUUCCGCUACCGAAACCCGGGGAGGCCGGGAUGACGACCUUAGUGACGACAAAAUCUGGACAUCUCUGAUUGCAUUCCACUAUCCUGGAUUGGUGGUUCCGCCAAUCUGCAUCGAGGACAUUGCAAAGAAAUGCGGGUGGAAUAAUCUGACCCCUGCAUGCGUGAUGGAAGAGAUGGACAGCUGCCACUAAGGCGACCACCGGCCACUCUCCAUCAGUCUCAGGCUGACAGGCUCUCAGCCAUAAUAAUUAAUAAGCUGUAAUAAGGGGCCUAAUUAAUAUGUACUACUUCAUGCCUCUGAUUUUGAUUGCAAGCACCACUAGCCAUGCAUGCAUGUCGUAUAUUCUAAUAGAAUUAAUUAAUGGUAAUAAUAUAAAGCUAGCUAGAUGUGCCUGUGGGUUUGAUUUUUAAUCACUAGGAGUAAUAGAGUAGUACUCCUCUAUCAGAAUGUCAGGGUGCAGUCAGAACCCCUUGAAUUUGGACGCUACAACUAGCUACUACUUAAUUACCGAUCGAUUUGGGGCAAAAACAACUACUGUUUGCCAGAUCAGAGAGAUGGUCAUCCACCAUGGUGAAGAACUAGCUUAACAGCGGCACAAGCACGACCUCGUCCAAGAACCCGUGUCUAGCUCGUGUGGCCGGCCAGCCGGUCACCAUGGCCGUGCAAAUCAUAUAUACAAGUCAUCGCUUGUACAAAGUUUUCAUUGUUUGAUUAAACAAAUCUGUACAGGACAUGGUGAUACAGCUGGAUUACUCAUGAUGUACUUAAAAACCAACUUGCUUCAAGAUUGCCCAUGGAACAUAACAUCAAA